rnacentral:rRNA from 1 species
UACGGAGGGUGCAAACGUUGCUCGGAAUUAUUGGGCGUAAAGCGCACGUAGGCGGUUCGUUAUGUCGGAUGUGAAAGCCCUCGGCUUAACCGAGGAAGUGCAUCCGAAACUGGCGAGCUCGAGUACGGAAGAGGGUCUCGGAAUUCCCGGUGUAGAGGUGAAAUUCGUAGAUAUUCGCAAGAACACCAGUGGCGAAGGCGGCUCACUGGCCCGAUACUGACGCUGAGGCACGAAAGCGUGGGGAGCAAACAGG